CCCUGGCUCAGGACGAACGCAGGCGGCGUGCCUAAUACAUGCAAGUCGAGCGAAUGAUGAAGAAGCUUGCUUCUUCUGAUUUAGCGGCGGACGGGUGAGUAACACGUGGGCAACCUACCUAGUAGAUUGGGAUAACUCCGGGAAACCGGGGCUAAUACCGAAUAAUCCAUUUUGUCACAUGGCAAAAUGCUGAAAGGCGGUUUCGGCUGUCACUACUAGAUGGGCCCGCGGUGCAUUAGCUAGUUGGUGGGGUAAUGGCCUACCAAGGCAACGAUGCAUAGCCGACCUGAGAGGGUGAUCGGCCACAUUGGGACUGAGACACGGCCCAAACUCCUACGGGAGGCAGCAGUAGGGAAUCUUCCACAAUGGACGAAAGUCUGAUGGAGCAACGCCGCGUGAGUGAUGAAGGUUUUCGGAUCGUAAAACUCUGUUGUAAGGGAAGAACAAGUACGUUAGUAACUGAACGUACCUUGACGGUACCUUAUUAGAAAGCCACGG
rnacentral:rRNA from 1 species